AGUGAACGCUGGCGGUAGGCCUAACACAUGCAAGUCGAACGGCAGCACAGUAAGAGCUUGCUCUUACGGGUGGCGAGUGGCGGACGGGUGAGGAAUACAUCGGAAUCUACUUUUUCGUGGGGGAUAACGUAGGGAAACUUACGCUAAUACCGCAUACGACCUACGGGUGAAAGCAGGGGAUCUUCGGACCUUGCGCGAUUGAAUGAGCCGAUGUCGGAUUAGCUAGUUGGCGGGGUAAAGGCCCACCAAGGCGACGAUCCGUAGCUGGUCUGAGAGGAUGAUCAGCCACACUGGAACUGAGACACGGUCCAGACUCCUGCGGUAGGUCGCAGUGGGGAAUAUUGGACAAUGGGCGCAAGCCUGAUCCAGCCAUACCGCGUGGGUGAAGAAGGCCUUCGGGUUGUAAAGCCCUUUUGUUGGGAAAGAAAAGCAGCAGGUUAAUACCCCGCUGUUCUGACGGUACCCAAAGAAUAAGCACCGGCUAACUUCGUG
rnacentral:rRNA from 1 species